rnacentral:tRNA from 1 species
UCUCCUGUAGCUCAGUGGUAGAGCGUCCGACCGGUGUGUGGAUCAAGGUCAUAGGUUCGACUCCUAUUGAGAAAA